rnacentral:rRNA from 1 species
GCGAUACAGGGUGACAGCCCCGUACACAAAAAUGCACAUGCUGUGAGCUCGAUGAGUAGGGCGGGACACGUGGUAUCCUGUCUGAAUAUGGGGGGACCAUCCUCCAAGGCUAAAUACUCCUGACUGACCGAUAGUGAACCAGUACCGUGAGGGAAAGGCGAAAAGAACCCCGGCGAGGGGAGUGAAAAAGAACCUGAAACCGUGUACGUACAAGCAGUGGGAGCCUCUUAAUGGGGUGACUGCGUACCUUUUGUAUAAUGGGUCAGCGACUUAUAUUCUGUAGCAAGGUUAACCGAAUAGGGGAGCCGAAGGGAAACCGAGUCUUAACUGGGCGUUAAGUUGCAGGGUAUAGACCCGAAACCCGGUGAUCUAGCCAUGGGCAGGUUGAAGGUUGGGUAACACUAACUGGAGGACCGAACCGACUAAUGUUGAAAAAUUAGCGGAUGACUUGUGGCUGGGGGUGAAAGGCCAAUCAAACCGGGAGAUAGCUGGUUCUCCCCGAAAGCUAUUUAGGUAGCGCCUCGUGAAUUCAUCUCCGGGGGUAGAGCACUGUUUCGGCAAGGGGGUCAUCCCGACUUACCAACCCGAUGCAAACUGCGAAUACCGGAGAAUGUUAUCACGGGAGACACACGGCGGGUGCUAACGUCCGUCGUGAAGAGGGAAACAACCCAGACCGCCAGCUAAGGUCCCAAAGUCAUGGUUAAGUGGGAAACGAUGUGGGAAGGCCCAGACAGCCAGGAUGUUGGCUUAGAAGCAGCCAUCAUUUAAAGAAAGCGUAAUAGCUCACUGGUCGAGUCGGCCUGCGCGGAAGAUGUAACGGGGCUAAACCAUGCACCGAAGCUGCGGCAGCGACACUAUGUGUUGUUGGGUAGGGGAGCGUUCUGUAAGCCUGUGAAGGUGUGCUGUGAGGCAUGCUGGAGGUAUCAGAAGUGCGAAUGCUGACAUAAGUAACGAUAAAGCGGGUGAAAAGCCCGCUCGCCGGAAGACCAAGGGUUCCUGUCCAACGUUAAUCGGGGCAGGGUGAGUCGACCCCUAAGGCGAGGCCGAAAGGCGUAGUCGAUGGGAAACAGGUUAAUAUUCCUGUACUUGGUGUUACUGCGAAGGGGGGACGGAGAAGGCUAUGUUGGCCGGGCGACGGUUGUCCCGGUUUAAGCGUGUAGGCUGGUUUUCCAGGCAAAUCCGGAAAACCAAGGCUGAGGCGUGAUGACGAGGCACUACGGUGCUGAAGCGACAAAUGCCCUGCUUCCAGGAAAAGCCUCUAAGCAUCAGGUAACAUCAAAUCGUACCCCAAACCGACACAGGUGGUCAGGUAGAGAAUACCAAGGCGCUUGAGAGAACUCGGGUGAAGGAACUAGGCAAAAUGGUGCCGUAACUUCGGGAGAAGGCACGCUGAUAUGUAGGUGAAGCGACUUGCUCGUGGAGCUGAAAUCAGUCGAAGAUACCAGCUGGCUGCAACUGUUUAUUAAAAACACAGCACUGUGCAAACACGAAAGUGGACGUAUACGGUGUGACGCCUGCCCGGUGCCGGAAGGUUAAUUGAUGGGGUUAGCGGUAACGCGAAGCUCUUGAUCGAAGCCCCGGUAAACGGCGGCCGUAACUAUAACGGUCCUAAGGUAGCGAAAUUCCUUGUCGGGUAAGUUCCGACCUGCACGAAUGGCGUAAUGAUGGCCAGGCUGUCUCCACCC